ACAAAGGGUCGAAUAAAACAAUUUUGGAGGACAACGUAGUUCUUUGCCCAAAUGAACGCUGUAUUCUAGAGGUCUAUAUGUACGGGAAUGAAAUGUUUGGCAAAAUUCUUCAGCAACAAAAACACACUGGGAUUCAAAAGCAUUGCGUUUUUUCCGAUUCCCAGCGGAACCAGAAAAAGCCAUGGUUGAAAUAUUGUGGACUUCCUGAUUUCUGUCUAACGGACAGUAGUCGAUUGUGCAGCUUCCACUUCGGCCAGGAAGACAUUUACCUGACAUCAGCGAAGGGAAACAUUUAUAAAUGUCGAGGAGCUAUGCCAAUGAACACCGUCGUUCCGCUUUUUCGUCGGUGUCAUCAAAGAGCAAAAUACGUCAACAACUCUACAAUUCCACUGUGCCUGAUGGUCUACUUGAGGAGCAUCACUCAAAUUACGUGGGAGAUGGGCGGAUGUUUGCAAAGAUGAAUAAAUAUGAAAAAUAGAUAUCCAGUGAAACUGACGGCUGCAAAGAUAGCAUAACCCUGUCGUAGGAGGAGAGAGACUCGAGAAUGGCGGAAAGUGCUUCAUAUCGUGGUCUCAGUUCAACAAUGUUGGUGAUGAUUUGAUUGAUGC